GCCAAUGUAGCUCAGUUGGGAGAGUUCUUUCUUGGUAAGAAAGAGGUCACGGGUUCAAAUCCCGUCAUUGGCU
rnacentral:tRNA from 2 species